rnacentral:rRNA from 1 species
GACGAACGCUGGCGGCGUGCUUAACACAUGCAAGUCGAACGGAAAGGCCCUGCUUGUGUGGGGUGCGCGAGGGGCGAACGGGUGAGUAACACGUGAGUAACCUGCCCUUGACUUUGGGAUCACUUCAGGAAACUGGGGCUAAUACCGGAUAGGAGCUCCUGCUGCAGGGUGGGGGUUGGAAAGGGCGGGCGGUGGGGGAUGGACGGGCGGCUUUUCAGCUGGUUGGGGGGGUAGUGGCUUACCAAGGGUUUGACGGGUAGCCGGCCUGAGAGGGUGCCCGGCCCCAUUGGGCCUGGGGUCCGGCCCAGCCCCCUCCGGGGGGCAGCGGUGGGGAAUAUUGCCCAUUGGGCGGAACCCUGUUGCAGCACCGCCGCGUGCGGGAUAACGGCCUUCGGUUUGUAACCCGCUUCCGCAUGUGACGAGGCGUGAGUGACGGUAAUGGGUAAAGAAGCACCGGCUAACUACGUG